rnacentral:tRNA from 1 species
GGUGGCUCAAUGGUAAAGUGCUUGCUUCACAUGCAUGAGGUCCUGGGUUCGAUUCUCAGCACCA